rnacentral:rRNA from 1 species
UACAGAGGUCUCAAACGUUGUUCGGAAUUACUGGGCGUAAAGCGUGUGUAGGCGGCCAUGUAAGUCGGAUGUGAAAGCCCCAGGCUCAACCUGGGAAGUGCACUCGAUACUGCGUGGCUUGAGUAUCGGAGAGGUUGGUGGAAUUCUCGGUGUAGAGGUGAAAUUCGUAGAUAUCGAGAGGAACACCGGUGGCGAAGGCGGCCAACUGGACGAAUACUGACGCUGAGACACGAAAGCGUGGGGAGCAAACAGG